CCUACGGGAGGCAGCAGUAGGGAAUAUUGCUCAAUGGGGAAACCCUGAAGCAGCAACGCCGCGGGGAGGAUGAAGGUUUUCGGAUUGUAAACUCCUUUUGUUAGAGAAGAUAAUGACGGUAUCUAACGAAUAAGCACCGGCUAACUCCGUGCCAGCAGCCGCGGUACUACGGAGGGUGCAAGCGUUACUCGGAAUCACUGGGCGUAAAGAGCGCGUAGGCUGGAUAGUAAUUCAGAUGUGAAAUCCUAUGGCUUAAACAGAGAACUGCAUUUGACACUGUUAUUCUAGAGGAUGGGAGAGGUAGGUGGAAUUCUUGGUGUAGGGGUAAAAUCCGUAGAGAUCGAGAGGAAUACUCGUGGCGAAGGCGACCUGCUAGAACAUAACUGACGCUGAUGCGCGAAAGCGUGGGGAGCGAACAGGAUUAGAUACCCCGGUAGUC
rnacentral:rRNA from 1 species